rnacentral:rRNA from 1 species
GCGAAUCUCGAAAGCCUAUCUCAGUUCGGAUUGGAGGCUGAAACCCGCCUCCAUGAAGUUGGAUUCGCUAGUAAUCGCGCAUCAGCCAUGGCGCGGUGAAUACGUUCCCGGGCCUUGUACACACCGCCCGUCAAGCCAUGGGAGCUGGGGGUGCCUGAAGUUCGUGACCGCAAGGAUCGACCUAGGGCAAAACCGGUGACUGGGGCUAAGUCGUAACAAGGUAUC